rnacentral:misc_RNA from 1 species
GAUGAAGAACGUAGCGAAAUGCGAUAAGUAAUGUGAAUUGCAGAAUUCAGUGAAUCAUCGAAUCUUUGAACGCACAUUGCGCCCGCCAGUAUUCUGGCGGGCAUGCCUGUCCGAGCGUCAUUUCAACCAUCAAGCCCCCGGGCUUGUGUUGGGGACCUGCGGCUGCCCGCAGGCCCUGAAAACCAGUGGCGGGCUCGCUGUCACACCGAGCGUAGUAGCAAUCACCUCGCUCAGGGCGUGCUGCGGGUUCCGGCCGUUAAACAGCCUUACAAAACCCAAGGUUGACCUCGGAUCAGGUAGGAAGACCCGCUGAACUUAAGCAUAUCAAUAACGGAGGA